UGAGACAUAUCUCUGAGAUAAGUG
rnacentral:piRNA from 1 species